AUUGUUUGCAGCCAGGUCCAUUCUGCAUGGAGUGCUCUCCCAGGGGAAUUGGGACAGGUCCCAGAAGUCAUGACAUCAUCUGAAACUGGCUACCUCCCUGGAAUCUUGUCUGGAUAUUCUUCUGCACUGCCCCUGGGGAGGCUGUAGCACAGUAGUUCUGUUUAAGGGUGCGAGUUGCUUUAGAUGCAACAGCAACUGGAUUAAGAUCCCAGGGAGAUGCUCAGCGUUACUGCAAUGCUAAGAGAUCGUGUGUGGGCAUCAGAGAGCAUAGGAUCCAUGACAGGAUUGAAAAUUGCGGAACCUAGGACUGAAACUAAAGAUCGUCCUGAUUGUAGUAAACACUUCCUUGCAGCAUCCUCAUUAGGCCCUUUUGGAUUUCUGAUUGCCCUAAGGAAGUUUUAUAUUUCACGUUCUUCUAAUUAGAUAUCAAGCUCCUCUCUCUUGUAUGCUGUGAGUCCGUACUGGCUUAUGACUAAAAGGUGUCUAUUUUCUUUAACAAGGAAAAAUCACAUCUGGAGUUAAGGAGAUAUCCUGUGUAUCAGGUGUGAUACCUUAAAUGGAGAAAAACAUUUCACAGGAGGAUCUGAAUUACUCCAAAGUAAAAAUGAUCACUGUUUUUUUCAGUAUUCUAUUUUUCUCUUUUCCCUUAGAAAGGGAAUUUCCAUACUGCAUCUAAUGAUUGAGAAUUAGGUUGUUUUUAUGAGUUGUUGGAAUUCACUCUGCUGGUACUUGAGAAACAUCUAUUGAGAUUUAGCACUUUACCCAGCAUCAGUCAAACAAGAAUAGAAAGUCUACCCUUGUGAAAAUUACAGAAAACCAUCAAAGUGAAAGAUACCUUCCCUUAAUAAGCUGGGCCAUUCCUGCAUUAAUGAUUAAUUUGAGGUUUUUAUCUGGUUAUGUAUACUGCUAAUAUUUUGUGGAGCAAACUAAAG
rnacentral:lncRNA from 7 species